GUAAGAUGAUUCGAGCUCGAAACUUGUAUAUGUUCAAUGUUCUAUGUUUCUUGUUUAGUCUCUUGCUGUUUUGUUUGGUGCCAUGAUUUGUAUUUGAUCUGCGCAGAAUUUGUAUUUGUAAUUCGGACUUCUGGGGAAGACCCUGAAGUCCUGCCCUGGAUGAAAGUCCGAGGGUUGCUUGAUUUGAUCUGCGCAGAAUUUGUAAUUUGUAUUUGAUCUGCGCAGAAUUUGUAAUUGAACCAUAGGGUAAGCAGACUUGCGAGAACCUUGGUUCCACCCUGGAUGAAAGUCCAAGGUUUGGUUGUAAUUUUGGUUUGGGGCACCAUUUCUUUGCCGCGGUUUGUCCUGUCUAAUGUUUGUGCUGUCUAAUGUGCUGUCAUUUGUGUUAUGUGUUUCUUAAGCAUCUCUUUCUGUCCCACAUUGCCCAUGCACAUGGCAUGCAUGGGUCAGGGGGUCAGGGGUCUUUUCUUCUCUGAGCUCAUGGCGCCACCUCAACUGUUAUCGGCAGAUGCGCCGGAGGACAGACUGCCACUCUGAGGACACCCAGGACCCAGGAGUUUAUAAUGUCAGACAGACUGCCAGAUCCGGACAGUGACCCAAAGUCUCCAAAGAAGAUUACGAGGCACCUCAGUUCCUGCACCUGGACCAGUGAGCGAGAUGCUCAGAUGUGAAACCUGCCGCCUGCCAGAACCUGGCCGAGACUGUGGACAAAGCUGCUGGACACUGGAAAAUUGAUUGCACCCCUUUGCCUAGACAAAACAAGGUUUCUACUUCUGGCAGACAUCUGAAUAUCAGUUGCUGACUACAGACUGUUCUAAGACUGCGAGCCCUAGACUUGCUAUGAAUGUGAACCAGUUCAGCUGAUGUGGACACCCCCUGUCUCUACAACAGUGUCUGCUAACCAGAAGCCCCUGAUGGAUUCCCCAUUGCCUAAAUUCCUUUUUGCUUUUGACUAGCAUUUCAACCUUCUGGGGUCCCUAACUUCGUCCCAAAGUCAGCAGGAAGCAGUUUGGAAAAGAAUUUCGCCGUCCAUUUUCCCUGGUUAAAAUGCUAAGUCAAAAGGAACUCCCUUACAUGGGGAUGCCAAUAUCUAUCACUCCCUGAUGGGGAUGCUAGAGAGACAGCAAUUCCAUGAUUGGAAUUUCCAGAAAAGAAAAUGGGGGAAUGAAGGAACCGGCUUCCCUUUUGGCAGCCAUAAUGGUUGAACAUGUGCUUCUAUGACCUUGUCCUAGAAACCAGAAAGUCAGAUGCCUGUCUUGUGACAAGGAACCAAUCAGAAGUUAGCUGGUGGUGCUAUGCUUUAUGGCUCUGGGUGUGCUUUACGGACAAGCGCACAGCAAUGACGUAGAGAGCAUAGCAACCACCCUGGGAGGGCCUAUGAGCCAUAACAACCAGUUGACCAAUCA
rnacentral:lncRNA from 1 species